rnacentral:rRNA from 1 species
AAAAACAUGUUUGUUUGGAGUUAUAAAUAGUCUGGCCUGCUCACUGACAUAGUAAAAGUGUUUAAGAGCCGCGGUAUCUUGACCGUGCAAAGGUAGCAUAAUCAUUAGCUUUUUAAUUGGAAGCUUGUAUGAAGGGUCGUACAAAAGAAAGGCUGUCUUUACUAUAGGGAUUGAAUUUAACUUUUAAGUGAAAAGGCUUAAAUACUCUAGGGGGACGAUAAGACCCUAUAAAGCUUUACAUAUGAGUAUAAUUUAGUUGAAUUGGUUGAUAAGAGUUGUAAUUUGGCUAUUAUGUUUUAUUGGGGCGAUAGAAGUAUAAUUGAUAUUAACUGCUUAAGAGUGAACCAUAGAUUUGUGUGAUGAGAAGAAAUGAUCCUUUAUAAAGAUUAAAAGACUAAGUUACUUUAGGGAUAACAGCGUUAUUCUUUUUGAGAGUUCAUAUCGAAAAAAGAGUUUGCGACCUCGAUGUUGAAUUAAAAUACCUGCAGGGUGCAGCAGUUCUGUAAGGAAGUCUGUUCGACUUUUGAAUUUUUACAUGAUUU